CCUACGGUGGGCAGCAGUGGGGAAUAUUGGACAAUGGGCGAAAGCCUGAUCCAGCCAUGCCGCGUGUGUGAAGAAGGCCUUCGGGUUGUAAAGCACUUUCAGUGGGGAAGAAAGCCUUGGGGCUAAUACCCUCGAGGAAGGACAUCACCCACAGAAGAAGCACCGGCUAACUCCGUGCCAGCAGCCGCGGUAAUACGGAGGGUGCGAGCGUUAAUCGGAAUUACUGGGCGUAAAGCGCGCGUAGGCGGUCUGAUAAGCCGGUUGUGAAAGCCCCGGGCUCAACCUGGGAACGGCAUCCGGAACUGUCAGGCUAGAGUGCAGGAGAGGAAGGUAGAAUUCCCGGUGUAGCGGUGAAAUGCGUAGAGAUCGGGAGGAAUACCAGUGGCGAAGGCGGCCUUCUGGACUGACACUGACGCUGAGGUGCGAAAGCGUGGGUAGCAAACAGGAUUAGAUACCCGGGUAGC
rnacentral:rRNA from 1 species